CAGCAGCCGCGGUAAUACGUAGGUGGUAAGCGUUGUCCGGAAUUAUUGCGCGUAAAGGGCUCGCAGGCGGUUUCUUAAGUCUGAUGUGAAAGCCCCCGGCUCAACCGGGGAGGGUCAUUGGAAACUGGGAAACUUGAGUGCAGAAGAGGAGAGUGGAAUUCCACGUGUAGAGGUGAAAUGCGUAGAGAUGUGGAGGAACACCAGUGGCGAAGGCGACUCUCUGGUCUGUAACUGACGCUGAGGAGCGAAAGCGUGGGGAGCGAACAGGAUUAGAUACCCCAGUAGUCCCUGUCUCUUAUAC
rnacentral:rRNA from 1 species